AGUGGGAUAGCUGGGUCAAAUGGUGGUUCCAUUCUAUUUUCCAAGGAAUCUCUAUACUGCUUUCCAUAUUGGUUGCACCAAUUUGCAGUCCCCACCAGCAAU
rnacentral:pre_miRNA from 1 species